rnacentral:lncRNA from 1 species
AAAAACUAUAUUAAAAAAUACAAAUUAUGCUUUUUUAUAUUUAUGAUCCCUGAAAAUCUGAGAACCCAAACUAGGUACCGUUAAACCAACUUGAUUCUAAAAUUUCAAGUAGCUCUCAGAUUCUGUGACUAUACGUGACUUAAAGUGAAAAAAAAUUACUUAUGUCUUCUUCACAUCCAUACAAUCCCUCAUAUUUUGAUUAGGCAUAGCUGUCUAUAUGACAACCAUGGUUCAGUAAGAAGAUAAUCCAAAAAUGAUAGUCCCAGGAUAAGCCAAAUAAAUACAUAAACUCUAGUGAUUUUAUUUGUUUCUUUUCAUCAUCUCAGAGCCUAGCUGUGUCCAGCAUGUAGUUGGCAUCUAUAAAUAUUGAUUGAUUGAAUGAAGUAGCAUGGGCCUUCGGAGAUCUAGGAAGAAUGACAUAAGUUGCUUAAGGUUUCUCCAAAUGAACUAGUAUUUACAUGACUCCGGCACUUGUUCUAUUGCCUACAACAGGAAGAUUGAGAUGGGCCACUAUGAGCCAUGGAAAAAGAGGACUGAGAAUAAACCACAGAGAUUGCAAUGGAAGCAGAGACAUCUUAAUACUUUCAACACCAGAGGAAGACCAGUGUGUCUUCAAUCUUUUAAAGAAGUUGGAAGAGGUGAGAAACUCCAUCUGAUAAGAAAACAGAAUCUUUAAGAAGUGGACUUGCUGAUGGUCACAGGGCUAGCGAAAGAGCUGCAACUACCUGAUUCCUUCACUGAGACAUGACCGUUUCCUGCUUUCUAAGGUAUAUAUAUUCAAGUGGAGGAAAUAGAACACACAUGCGAGAGAAUCACUUUCUGAGAGAGCUGAAGACUAUUUGAUGGACCACCAUAAAUUUCAUCAAAGGAAACAGAGCAGAGAAUUGACCAAUAACAAACAGCUGGAAAUGAAAGAACUGUGGGCAAGGUAAUUUUGGCAGCUAAUGGAGACAGUUAUUGAGGAAGGCUGAAUGCACUCUGAGUCUGGAAUGUGGAAGUGUGGACAAUUCUGCAGAGCAGGCCUACAGUGGAGGAGCACAGGAAAAUCUUCAACACAGGAAAAAAUUGUGGACCACCUACUUAAGGAGGAAUUCCAAAGACUUGCUGUACAACAUAGUACCUAUAGUCAAUAAUAUAGUAUUGUGUGCUUUAAAAUAUGUUAAGAAAAUAGGUCUCAUGUAAAGUGUUCUUACCAAAAAACAAACAAACAAACAAACAAAAACCACAAGGAAAUUUGUGGAGGUGAGAGACAUUUAGUACCUUGAUUGUGGUGAUGGUGUCAUGAGCUCAUCCAUCUGUCGAAUUUCAUCAAACUGUGCGCAUUAAAUAUGUACAAUUUUGUGUAUCAAGUAUUUUUCAAUACAGCUAAAAAUAUGUACUUUAUUUAUAAAAAACAUACGUUUUUUUUAGUACAGAACAUUGAAUAGUUUUAACAAAGAAGGCAUCUAUGGCUGGACAAGAGGAAGUUCUCAACCCUCCCUAAGCCAUUGAUUAUCCACACACUGUGACCUCUUCUCUCCGGGGUUAUGUUCUCAUUUAUUUAAUAUGAGGGAAGGAAGGUCAUUCUCUCAAACUCGUGUAGAUUUUCACAACAGCUUAGUGAUUUAUGUUAUACAAAUAUAAUCUUUUAACCAUCAAUUAUGAUAUAUAUUUUUCUUAAUGGGCAAUCUGAACAUAAUGAUAGCAUUGUUUUGUAUUAAAGGUUAAAAUAAUAAAUGUAAAAUUCUUAGCAGAGUGCCUGAGGCAAAUAAAUACUUUUUACUAUUAAUACUAUUAUUAUUUAUUCUUAUCAUUAUUUUUAUUUCUAUUAAGCCAGCAAAUAUGGUGAAAUCUUCCAGAUGCCCUUGCUGAAGGACUCCAGAUGUCAAAGAGAAGUGGCCAUUUGUUAGACAGCUGUUCAGUUAACCUGUCUGUCUUGGUUAAAAACACCUGCACAUACUGUCCCCAGUUCAAUCUGAGCCCAUGGCAGUGACAAAGUCUGUGGGAUUUGGGUUGCCUCAUGGGUGGUGAACCAUAUUGUUGGAUAGAUCACUCUCUGAAAAGCCAGCUAUCCUUCAUGUUUGAAACGAUUAAACAUGAAAGCUCAUUACAACAAUAAUGGCUGUUUUGAUAUUUCCAACUAGCUCUAGUGAGGUGGCCACUGGAGAGUCCUCAAUGAGGUGUAAAGCAUUGGCUAUGCAGUGGGUGUGAAGCCCAACUGGCCCAUUUGUUUUCACAAAUCUUACCUUCUGGGGAUAAUGUUAAGUACACGGAUGACUUGGCACAUAGUGGCCUAAUUCAAAG